rnacentral:lncRNA from 1 species
GACUCCCAGGCCUUUAAACAUCAUUAAACAAAACAACGGCGAGCAGAUUAUUAGAAGACGGACAAGAAAGCGCCUUAACCCAGAGGCACUUCAGGCUGAGCAACUCAACAAACAGCAGAGGGGAAGUGGGGAGGAGCAGGUCAAUGGAAGCCCCUUAGAGAGGAGGUCAGAAGAUCACUUAAGUGAAAGUCAUCAGAGAGAAAUUCCACUUCCGAGCCUGAGUAAAUACGAAGCCCAGGGUUCAUUGACUAAAAGCCAUUCUGCUCAACAGCCGGUCCUGGUCAGCCAAACUCUGGAUAUUCACAAAAGGAUGCAGCCUUUGCACAUUCAGAUAAAAAGUCCUCAGGAAAGUACUGGAGAUCCAGGAAACAGUUCAUCCGUAUCUGAUGGGAAAGGAAGUUCUGAAAGAGGCAGCCCCAUAGAA